rnacentral:rRNA from 1 species
GACGAACGCUGGCGGCGUGCUUAACACAUGCAAGUCGAACGGAAAGGCCCUGCUUUUGUGGGGUGCUCGAGUGGCGAACGGGUGAGUAACACGUGAGUAACCUGCCCUUGACUUUGGGAUAACUUCAGGAAACUGGGGCUACUACCGGUAAGGAGCUCCUGCUGCAUGGUGGGGGUUGGAAAGUUUCGGCGGUUGGGGAUGGACUCGCGGCUUAUCAGCUUGUUGGUGGGGUAGUGGCUUACCAAGGCUUUGACGGGUAGCCGGCCUGAGAGGGUGACCGGCCACAUUGGGACUGAGAUACGGCCCAGACUCCUACGGGAGGCAGCAGUGGGGAAUAGUGCACAAUGGGCGGAAGCCUGAUGCAGCAACGCCGCGUGCGGGAUGACGGCCUUCGGGUUGUAAACCGCUUUCGCCUGUGACGAAGCGGGAGUGACGGUAAUGGGUAAAGAAGCACCGGCUAACUACGUG